rnacentral:tRNA from 1 species
GCUUGCCGAAGGUAUUCAAGGCUCUUAACCUUGUGGUCGUGGGUUCGAGCCCCAUGGUGGGCG